rnacentral:rRNA from 1 species
UUGACGGUACUGUACGAAUAAGGAUCGGCUAACUCCGUGCCAGCAGCCGCGGUAAUACGGAGGAUCCAAGCGUUAUCCGGAAUCAUUGGGUUUAAAGGGUCCGUAGGCGGUUUUUUAAGUCAGAGGUGAAAUCCUGCAGCUCAACUGUAGAAUUGCCUUUGAUACUGAAAGACUUGAGUUAUUGUGAAGUGGUUAGAAUGUGUGGUGUAGCGGUGAAAUGCAUAGAUAUCACACAGAAUACCAAUUGCGAAGGCAGAUCACUAACAAUAUACUGACGCUCAGGGACGAAAGCGUGGGUAGCGAACAGGAUUAGAUACCCUGGUAGUCCACGCCGUAAACGAUGGAUACUAGCUGUUUG